GGGUGACCCCAAAAGAGCGUUACCAUGUCCUUGAUCAAGACGUACCUCUCUUCUGGUCGUGAAGGACCGACAGAACAUAAUGGAUCUGCGAACGUAACUCAUCUGGAUCCCUUGAGGCCAGGAGCCAGUCGUCCAGUAAGGGUAGACCGUGAUGCCAUGUGUUCUCAGGAGGAACAAUAUGCCGCUUUCCAGAUUUUGACGUAGAGGCACAGUCAAUUACGAGGGAAUUGGGCGCCGG